rnacentral:pre_miRNA from 1 species
CAAAGUGCUCAUAGUGCAGGUAGUUUUGGCAUGACUCUACUGUAGUGUGGGCACUUCCAGU